rnacentral:rRNA from 1 species
GACGAACGCUGGCGGCGUGCCUAAUACAUGCAAGUCGAGCGGACGGAUGGGAGCUUGCUCCCAGCCCGUCAGCGGCGAACGGGUGAGUAACACGUGGGCAACCUGCCUGUAAGACUGGGAUAACUCCGGGAAACCGGGGCUAAUACCGGAUAACUCUUUCCCUCACAUGAGGGAAAGCUGAAAGAUGGCAUCUCGCUAUCACUUACAGAUGGGCCCGCGGCGCAUUAGCUAGUUGGUGAGGUAACGGCUCACCAAGGCGACGAUGCGUAGCCGACCUGAGAGGGUGAUCGGCCACACUGGGACUGAGACACGGCCCAGACUCCUACGGGAGGCAGCAGUAGGGAAUCUUCCGCAAUGGACGAAAGUCUGACGGAGCAACGCCGCGUGAGUGAUGAAGGUUUUCGGAUCGUAAAACUCUGUUGUCAGGGAAGAACAAGUACCGGAGUAACUGCCGGUACCUUGACGGUACCUGACCAGAAAGCCACGGCUAACUACGUG